rnacentral:lncRNA from 1 species
GACUCAAUAAAUACCAAAUCUUAGAAGAAUGUAACUCCUGUUCUGUGUUAAGGAUUGCUCCAGGACCUCCACUUCCAUCCUCUCUAAUCCUCACGAAACUCCUACCAAGAAAGGAUUACUAUACCAUGGUUACAGGGGAGGAAGCUGAAGCUAAGAGAGUUUAAUGAACUUGAAUGAAGGUCAAGCAGGUAAAAGAAAACCAGAAUUGGAAUUUCUGCCUCAGUUUCCUGUUCAAUACUUGAGCUCCUGUCUGCGACUGGAGGCUAUAUGACUGUCUGACUCUGUCCUAAACCAAAUAUUUGGAAGCUCCUCUGCCCUGUGGACUCCAGGCAUUUCUCCAGUCCAUGACUCCUUGCUGUCGGUCACUCCUACCCACCUGGAGAGGAUUUCUUAUCUUAUUAAAGUAAGAGCUGCAGUAUGUUCUAGAUGUUUUAAUUGAAUGCAAUCCUUGUAAAAAUAAUGACUAUUUCCCAGUACUAGCUUUAUUUUCCAGAUGAGGAAACGGAAGUUCAGAAUGUGCAAGCCACUUGCCCCAAGUCAUCCAGCAGAGGUAGAUGUGUGAGUGCCUGCUGUAUCAGCCUGCGGGGAAGGCUGUAGUUCAGCACUGGGAGCGGCAGCAGGGUGGUCUCAAGGCCAUCACACAGGGCUGCCCAUGCCUAGAGGGGCUCUUAGUUGGUUGAAUACUCUGCCAUCAUUGGCAAUGCUUACGAGUGUUGUCAUUAAACUUGCAUCUUGCAAGUAAAGUCUGCUAAGUCAAUGGAGCAUGCAAGUGAACACAGAUCUGCCCACAUUUCAGCCUCUCCCCUUACUUUUCUGUUUUUGUUGUUGUUGUUGUUUUUUGUGAGACGGAGUCUGGCUCUGCUGUCAGGCUGGAGUGCAGUGGUGUGAUCUCAGCUCACUGCAGCCUCCACCUCCU